UCGACGGACUCAUAUUGAACCUAGUGAUUUAUGAGUUAGUGGCGGACGGGUGAGUAACGCGUGGAAAACCUGCCGUAUACCGGGGGAUAACACUUAGAAAUAGGUGCUAAUACCGCAUAAGCGCACAGCUUCGCAUGAAGCAGUGUGAAAAACUCCGGUGGUAUAUGAUGGUUCCGCGUCUGAUUAGCUAGUUGGUGGGGCAACGGCCCACCAAGGCGACGAUCAGUAGCCGGACUGAGAGGUUGACCGGCCACAUUGGGACUGAGACACGGCCCAGACUCCUACGGGAGGCAGCAGUGGGGAAUAUUGCACAAUGGGGGAAACCCUGAUGCAGCGACGCCGCGUGAGUGAAGAAGUAAUUCGUUAUGUAAAGCUCUAUCAGCAGGGAAGAAAAUGACGGUACCUGAGUAAGAAGCCCCGGCUAACUACGUGCCAGCAGCCGCGGUAAUACGUAGGGGGCAAGCGUUAUCCGGAUUUACUGGGUGUAAAGGGAGCGUAGACGGCAGUGCAAGUCUGGAGUGAAAGGCGGGGGCUCAACCCCCGGACUGCUCUGGAAACUGUACGGCUGGAGUGCAGGAGAGGUAAGUGGAAUUCCUAGUGUAGCGGUGAAAUGCGUAGAUAUUAGGAGGAACACCAGUGGCGAAGGCGGCUUACUGGACUGUAACUGACGUUGAGGCUCGAAAGCGUGGGGAGCAAACAGGAUUAGAUACCUGGUAGUCCACGCCGUAAACGAUGAUCACUAGGUGU
rnacentral:rRNA from 1 species